GGGGCGGACGCAGACCUGCGGGCGGGGCAGUUCCUGCGGGUCGGAAGGGAAAUAGCUCUGCAAGGUAUUGCUUUUUAUAAAUUCACUUUUGACCACUUCUCCUGUAAAGAGAUCCUAAAAGCGACAACUGGCAAAGUGCUUUGUAGACACCUGUACAGUUUUCCACCUUUAUAUUCUUUGCGAAUAUGCCUCACCUUUUAAAGACACGGAGAUGCUUCUUUGAGACUUCCUAAAAGGUUCUGGCUCUUAUCUGCUGCACCUGUCCACUUUGCCGGUUAUUAAAGUUACGGUGUGGACAGACUUCUGCCUUCAGAUGCCAUUGUGAAGAGCUGAGUGGUGGCAAUGCCCCUUUGACCAGGGCCCGGGAGGCACCAAAGGGGCCACCCUUCCCUUUGCAAUAAAGAAUUUUUCUACUUGCUCA